rnacentral:rRNA from 1 species
CAAUAGCGUAUAUUAAUGUUGUUGCAGUUAAAAAGCUCGUAGUUGGAUUUCUGAUGGGAACCCUGGUCACUCUAACGAGUGUACUGAUGUGGCGUCCUGUCGUUUCAUGGGGAUGCUUGCUGGUAUUAAGUUAUCGGCUUGUGGAUCCAUGUCGUUUACUGUGAAAAAAUUAGAGUGUUCAAAGCAGGCCAUCGCUGUGAAUACAUUAGCAUGGAAUAAUAAGAUAGGACUGUGGUGCUAUUUUGUUGGUUUGCGUACUACGGUAAUGAUUAAUAGGGAUAGUUGGGGGUAUUCAUAUUCAAUUGUCAGAGGUGAAAUUCUUGGAUUUAUGGAAGAUGAACUACUGCGAAAGCAUUUACCAAGGAUGUUUUCAUUAA